AACGAACGCUGGCGGCAUGCCUAACACAUGCAAGUUGAACGAACCCUUCGGGGUUAUUGGCGCACGGGUGCGUAACGCGUGGGAAUCUGCCCUUUGCUUCGGACUACCUCAGGGAAACUUGUGCUAAUACCGGAUGAUGUCUUCGGACCAAAGAUUUAUCGGCACGGGAUGAGCCCGCGUAGGAUUAGGUAGUUGGUAGGGUAAAGGCCUCCCAAGCCGACGAUCCUUAACUGGUCUGGGAGAAUGAUCAGCCACACUGGGAGGGAGACGCGGCCCGGAAUCUUACGCAAGGGGGGAGAGGGGAAUAUUGGACCAUGGGGGCAAGCAUGAUGCAGCAAGGCCGGGUGAGUGAUGAAGGCAGUCGGGUAGUAAUGCUCUUUUAACAGGGCUGAUAAUGACAGUACCUGGAGAAUAAGCCCCGGCUAACUCCGUG
rnacentral:rRNA from 1 species